CUUACCUGCGGAGUUCUGAU
rnacentral:sRNA from 1 species